rnacentral:rRNA from 1 species
GAAUAUUGGGCAAUGGGCGCAAGCCUGACCCAGCAACUCCGCGUGAAGGAAGAAGGCUCUCGGGUUGUAAACUUCUUUUAUCAGGGACGAAGCAAGUGACGGUACCUGAAGAAUAAGCUCCGGCUAACUACGUGCCAGCAGCCGCGGUAAUACGUAGGGAGCAAGCGUUGUUCGGAAUGACUGGGCGUAAAGGGUGCGUAGGCGGUUGUACAAGUUAGAAGUGAAAUACCCAGGGCUUAACUCGGGUGCUGCUUCUAAAACUGUAUGACUUGAGUGCAGUAGAGGUUAGUGGAAUUCCUAGUGUAGCGGUGGAAUGCGUAGAUAUUAGGAGGAACACCAGAGGCGAAGGCGGCUAACUGGACUGCAACUGACGCUGAGGCACGAAAGUGUGGGGAGCAAACAG